ACACUCUUAUGAAAAAUGGUUCUUCAAAGGUUCUGAAAUGAUGGUAAAGGUUCUAUAUAGAACCAUAGCUUACUGAAGAACCCUUUUUUGCUGAAAUGGUUCUUUGUCUUGGCAAAAGGGUUCUUUUUUCCCUCCUUUUUUGAUUUUAAAUUUAGUCAGUUAUUUUCAAGCUGCCUCUUGAUUAAUUUCACCUGUAAAAGCCCUGAAUCAUCAGUCCUGCUGAACUGCCUGCAGACUAACAUCACAAACAGGUAAGAGAGGAAAAUAAUCAUCAUUUACUGUUAAAAACAUUUUGAAAAUUGAAGUUUUGUGUGUUCUUAUUGUAAUUUAUUUAUUUUAUAACAGGUAAGCUUUAUACUGAAAGCUUCAUUCCCUUUAAAGCAGAGUUUUUAUAUGUGAGGUCAUCUUGCUGGGAGUGAAGGCAGUGCGUAUGAUCGCUUGAUAUGAGACACACAUACUGUAUUUAAAGGUCAACUUUAUACGUAAAAUUCAUUCCAUUUAUAACAGAGUUUUCAUAUGUGAGGUAAUCAUCUUGCUGGGAGUGAAGGCAGUGUGUUCUGUCCAAUAGUGACCCAGCCCUGGGUUAAAAGCAACCCAGCAUUUUUUAGAGUGUACGAGAGACACAUUCUAUUUUUAAAGGUCAACAUACUGUAAGCUUCAUUCCCUUUAAAGCAGAGUUUUCAUAUGUGAGGUAAUCUUACUGGGAGUGAAGGCAGUGCAUAUGACCACUUGAUAUGAAAGACACAUCCUGUUUUUAAAGGUGGAUCAUGAGUGAAGCUCUGCAGGUCUGCCAUUAGCUUGAUAACAGUGGUUUAUGUGAAUUGAGUGAAUUCAAUUUAUAAAUAAAUCUUUCACCAAGCAUUCACCUAUUUACGGACAAAACAGAUCCAAAUCUUGUUCAGCCUGAUGCUCAACCUUGUAUGAUGAUGACCACAGCCAGGUGAUGGAGAUCUGUGUUAUUCACAGCCUGCAUCUCAAGAUCAACAUGACAAUAGCAGACCAUUUCUUAUCUUACUCCUAUCUGACUAAAUGUUCAGCAUCAUUGCAACAAAACAAAGAACAUUAGAUGGAGUAUUGGAUGAUCCCGUAAAGAAAAUAAUAUGGACUUUUUUGGUGAGAUUCUACAAAGAUUGACACAAUCCUAUUGACUUUUAUUUUUACAGUUAAUAAUGCAUUAUAAACAUCCCAUUCAUUUGUAUUCUAUGUCAUCGAUCUGUUUGUGCUAAAAUGUAUACAUCUGAAUGUAAUGUCAAUAAUAUGUUAAUAUUCAGGAUUUAUUAUCAUUUGCAUGUUUUGAUGUUGCAUAUCAUGAUUUUAUUGAUUUCAUGUAAUUGUUGUCUAUUUAAAAUUAUUUUAAUUGCCAAAUUUUAUUGUUACUUUAUUUAAUAUUGAAGCUGUUAUUUAACAUCCAUAUCUUAUUUGAGUAGUGAUUUGUUAUAUUUGCAUAAUAAUUCAUAUAUUUAUUCUGAUUGUGAUUUUAAUGCAAAUAUUUAUUAUUGUAUGACACCUCAUGUAA